rnacentral:tRNA from 1 species
GGAGAUAUAGCUCAGUUGGUAGAGUGCUUGCCUUGCAUGCACAAGGCCCUGGGUUCAAUCCCCAGCAUCACCA